ensembl:lncRNA
UCCCCUUUUCCCGGUGCCUCCGUCUGCCUGGCGGAACUGGACUUUCAGGUCUGUGCAGGUGAAGGUGUGCGUGUGAACGCCCGAGACGGCAGAACCAGAGCUACUGGUAAUUCUGCUUUCCUUCCCCCCCUCUCCCGGCUCCGCAGCCAGCCGCCGAGGCAGGACAGGUAGAGCCCCCUCCCCCUGGCAUGUGGGGAGCGGCGGGGCUGGGGCGCCGGCGGGGCUCGGCACGGGAGAGCGGCCGGGCCGGGCGCGCACAGGUAACUUUCUCGAGCGGCGCUGGAUUCUUUCACUAAAGGAGCGGGGAGAGGGACGAGCCGCGCGCUGAUUGGGCGGCGCGGCCGCCAGGUGCGCUGCCAUUGGCAGAGGCGCGCACAGGUGAGGAAGGAGCCGCCGCCGAGCCCCAGCAGGGGAAAGCUGGAAGAGAAUGGAAAAGCUGGAAUGGAACAUUUAUCGAGGCUCUGUCAUGCGGAGAUGAAGUGAACGGAGAGGACUGCAGAUCCUCAGUCACCCUUCAGCCCAGUACAACCUACUGUGUACUUUGCCAGAGGACCAAAGUGGGUUUACAAGGGACAACCAGAGAGGGCUGUGCGGGCAGCAGCUUUGACCCUGAUGGAGAAGGAGCUGAGCCAGAACUGUGAGAUGCCCUGGAAGAAAGGACUGCUAUGCAAUAAGUUACAACUUUAUGACUGUGUAAAAAUAAAAAAGCAACUCAAACAAUUAUUGUUAUACCU